GUCUAUGGUCAUACCAGCCCGAAUGCGCCUGAUCUCAUCUGAUCUUGGAAGCUAAGCAGGGUAGGCCUGGUUAGUAGUUGGAUGGGAGA
rnacentral:rRNA from 1 species